rnacentral:lncRNA from 1 species
GUGACUGAUAUUUAGUACAAAGGGCACAAGACACAGAAUCAUGCAGACGUACACUAAGCUGCGUGCCUUCCAGCAACGUAUAACCUCUGCGAAGCUGUUUCCUUAUCCUGAAAAUGGGGACACAGUCCCCAUCCUGGAGGAUUGUAUUAAGCCCUAAAACGAGCAGCUGCUCCAUAGGUGUUUGCUGCUGUGGUUGUUGGAGGCGUCCUUCUCCACUCAGCCUUGGGAGGGGGUGCCUGUCUGGGGUCCAGAUUUCACCCCGGUUUCUCAGUUUCUUCAGGACUGCUGCCCCACUCAGGUACACACAGUCCUGGCUAUUGCCGCCAGGAAAUGGCAAGAGAGGAGAAGUCUGGGGAAGGGGAUCCUAGAGCAGGGGGAGGGGAAGAGAAUGGAGAGGCUGUAAUUUGAGAUGAGAAGAAAACACUGGAUGAGGAGGAGGUCCCAAUUGCUGGAAACUGAAGGUCCCCAGGGGUGGCUCAGAGCAGGAUUUAUCCGUGCUGUCCAGGCCUCUGGAGUUCCUCAGCACAGGGAGGCGGGGUGCGGUAGUGAUGACAUUCACUUUGGGCCUAGCCUGAAGUCCCGUCUCCCUGAGCCCUGGGCCGACCAUCUGACCCGAUGCUCAGUGGAAGGAACCGGCUCCUCCUUCACCCUGGCCUGUGCAAAGGCCCAGCGGUCUGAUCCCUUUCUCCUCCCAGGCCCUGACUGGGGCCGUCAGCACCGUUAAGUUCUUCCUCUCUGAGGCUUUCCUGGGUCAGCACUUCGAGGCCGUGGAGUUGCAGGGCAGCGAGCCUGAGUCCGGAGACCUCUUCCCGUUCAGGCUGAUGUCCCCCAACGGACGCUGGUGGGGGCCCACGUGGGCGUGUAUUGCGGCCACGGAGAGAUCAUCCACUUCGAGGGUGUCAGUGGACGUGGACUUGACGGUGGACUAGGCAUGAACUCAAGCCCUCCUGGGUGGGCAUGGGGGCUUCAGAAAUGGUCAUUAAACUGUUUUCCAAAAC